AACGAACGCUGGCGGCGUGGAUAAGACAUGCAAGUCGAACGCUGAUUACGGGGGUAGCAAUAUUCCGUGGUUGGAGUGGCGCAAGGGUGCGUAACACGUGGGUAAUUUGCCGCGAAGCUUGGGAUAACUCGCUGAAAGGCGAGCUAAUACCGAAUGUGAUGUUUGGAUGGCAUCUUCCGAAUUUCAAAGCUGGGGACCGAAAGGCCUGGCGCUUCGCGAUAAGCCCGCGGCCAUCAGCUAGUUGGUGAGGUAACGGCUCACCAAGGCUAAGACGGGUAGCUGGUCUGAGAGGACGACCAGCCUCACUGGAACUGAGAUACGGUCCAGACACCUACGGGAGGCAGCAGUGGGAAUCUUGCGCAAUGGG
rnacentral:rRNA from 1 species